ensembl:lncRNA
AAACUGAAGGGCAUGUGGCUAUUAAGGAAGAAUCAGGUGUUGACGCACUGACACACCACAGCGAGUGGAAUGCACUGACACACUGUUGAGGUUGAUCUGUUCCGAGAGGAGGAGCGUGGUGGGGGCAAGAGGGGCGGAGUCACCACAUAGACCCUGGGAGCCGGGUGAAAGCAGGCCUGAGGCAAGCAGCCUGCAGACUCGUUUAUUUCAGUUGGUACAGCAGCUUAUAUAGCCAAGGCAGCCAAUCCAGUCUAGGGACAGUCUAUGCCCUAACCAAUCACAGCCUGUUGCCAGGAAGUUUCUGAAGCCAUCCAAUCACAGACUGUUGUCAGUCAGGCUCCAUUGUCAUGUGGUUUCCGAAGCCAUCCAGUCACAGACUGUUGCCAGGCAGUUUCUGUUGCCAAUGGCCAUCUUGACAUGGCCUUCUCAUUCCACCACAACACACCCUGCAAAAGAUCAAGCUUGCAGAGGGCAGUUACUCCUGGUGAAACUGACAAGACGAAGAUUCACCUUCUAGCGCCGGGACCAGUGACCCACAAACCCGGGGCCACGUCUGGCCGAGCUCCCGGCUUCACAGACGGAGCUUUGCUGGACUGGAGAAACAUACACUUCUUUCCAUAUUGCCCGUGGCUGCUUCUCGUCUACAACGGCAGAAUUAAGUGGUUGCAACAGGCGCUGCAUGGCUGCAAAACCCCAAAUUCUGUCCCUUUAUCAAAGAGAUUUGCUUAUCCACGUUACAGUACCAGAAAUAUAGGAACAUCUUAUUUAAUGUUUGGAUUUUGGGUUUUUUGUUUGUUUGUUUUCUCACAGUUGGAUUCAUAAAUAUUUCAUUCAUUCACUCAUUCAACCAACAUCUACUGAACACCUGCCACAGGCCAGGUGCUUAUUUGGACACGGAUGGUGCAAGACCAGAAGUCAGACAGUUCUGGCCAUCGAGGACACAUGAGCCCUGGUCCCAGCUUCCCAUGAUUGAUAAGGAAGUCCCUGUGUGUGACUCUGGACAAGCUCCUUUACCCUGGGGACCCCAGCGCCCUCGCCUAUCACAGAGGACAAGCAUGAGCACUUCCAGAGUAGAGAGGGCGCAUGGCAGGUCGGGGGCGCCCGGAUUUGUUGGCAUCACUGGCUCUGGCUGGUCGGCCCAUCCUGGAACUGUCACUGUCACCAGAGUACGGUGUUCUCACUGGCCAGGUUGGGUCCUAUGGCAAGGCUGCAGGCAGAACCGGAGUCGGCAACCUCUCGGGCCACACAGAUUGGGAGGAAGAGGAGAAAGAAAAACUGGGGCUGUGGCAGAAAUCAGGUAAAUGGAGACCAACUGGGCAGCAAAAACGUUCUAGAAAGACCUGGUUCCCAGGCGACAUCAUCACCGUAGUAACUUCCCUUGAGCACCUAGGAACAAUGCCCAUGCCUAGUUUGGUUCUUUAUGAGUAUUCGUCGAAUGAAUCACUUCUUCAUUUUAUUUUUUAAAUAUUUAUUUAUUUGCCAGGUAGAGUGACUCAGAGAAAGGGAGACACACACGCACAGAGAAACAGAAAAAGUGAGAGCGAGAGCGAGAGAGAGAUCUUCCA